rnacentral:lncRNA from 1 species
CAACCCAAAUAAAAGAAAACAGCAGAGUAAAGUAGCAUUCAUUUCAUUGACUCAACCAUUAUUAGUUGAGAAUGAGUAGGCGCUGGGCACACGGCAGUGAAUAAGACAGAUGGAGUCACUGCCUCUGUUCGAGGGAGAUGGUAAGCAAACAAAGAAUGCCAGGUUGUAAUUAAGCUAUUAAGGGAAUAAGCGUGGUCGCUCAACAGAGAUGAGUGAUGCAGGAGCGAGGGAGGGCAUCUCUAAGGAGAGAAUGUUUGAGCUGUGAGCUGAGGGAGAAGCAAUGAGCCACACGAGGAACAGUCAAGGCAGAGGGAACAGCAGUGCGAAGGCCAGGAGACAUGUUAGAAGGAACGAAAGCCGGCAGUGUGUCUACGUGUAGACACACGGGGGUAGAAGGUACAGCAGGAGGUGAGAAAGGGAGACAGGGGUCAGAAGGCGAAGGGCCGUGUGGGCUCUGACAAGAGGGAUCCACUGCAGGAUAGUAAGCAAAGGAGUGGCGUGGGGCUGUUUUUGUGGCUGUAAGUAGGGUUGAGAGGAAGCCCAGGGAAGCUCCCCAAGUGGUUUGGGGCAGUGGCUGUGGGGGAAGCGGGCAAAUCUGGUUGUAUUCUGGAGGCGGACCUAGCAGGACUUGCUGAGAGACUGUUGAAGGAGGGNNNNNNNNNNNNNNNNNNNNNNNNNNNNNNCGCUCUUGGGUUUUGGGACUGGGGAAUGGAAUGGAUGCUGGUGUGAGCAGACCCUCCAACCACAAGCAUGAAACCCAAGGACCCUUCCAGUGUUCUCCUUACACCUCCCUACUCCCCUUGUAAACCUCAGUUCAGACACCUUUGCGCUCUCAUGCAGCUUCAGCACAUAUUUAUAUAUUUACCGAUGGCCUGCUACAUGUUUCUUUUCAAGUAACAUGGCUCUUUGGUUAAUUUUAGUGCGGUAGUUUUAAACAGCUCCAAUUGGAGCCAACUUAAUCAGUAAUCCAAGCCACGCAUGAAAUGAGUUCUUUUUUUAGCAUUGGCAGGCUGUUUGCAACAAAUGAAGAUGCCUUAGCUUCAUGCCAGCUGUGAGCAAAUAGUUUUGGUUCUCAGUCUGUAAUAUUCUCAAAGUGCUAAGAGAUAGCCAGGAGGAGACUCAGGGAGGACUUGCCUUUGUCAGACUCUGCCCUGCUGUGGGACUCAGCUCUCUCUCCAUUGCAAAUAUCAUUUGCUGGAGAGGAAAGGCCUCUGAGGGGUUGGUCAUGGGGUCUGUACUCAGUGUGAUCUGCUCCUUAGAAAUGGGUGCCUUCAUGGCUGCUCUUGUGGGAACAGGUUUGAGUCUACUGCACAUAGGAUUUUCAAAUAUUCAAUGCCAUCUCUGAGAUCACUUAGUACACCUCCAAUCUAGGGAGUUAUGCUAAUGAAUUCAGCGAGACCCUUCAUAACUGAGGCCAAAGAAAAAGGAAGCCUGUUAACUGGCUUGGAGGGGAAAAAAAUAGUUAAUCUUCACCAACUCAUGGCCAAUACCGGCUCCAAAAAAUAAAUGUGAUUAUUUUAUUCUACCCACGACCCCUGACUUAGAAAGCGUGUGACUAUUUCUGCUCCUUUGGGAUUAUCAUUUUAAGAUUCUUCAGAUGAACAGAUGCAGUUAUUCACUGAGCUUGGCUCACUUCCAAAUGGUAAAAGCCUUGUCUAGACUCUGAGCAUUUUCAGCUGCCAUUUGCCAGCAUUUCUGCACAUUUCCGAAUGAGCUAGGGUGGAAUCCCAUGCCCAUGUCCUAAGUUCACUCCUUGGUGUCCAUUGGUCAUGUGAGUGACGGCGGCUACACUGAAAAGUCUUCUACUUUUCAUGGCUCUGGUGAUUCGAAAAAGCUUCUCACAGCCCAGAUCUCACCUUCCAGUACCCCCACGUCAAUAGCUAGGAUAGCAGAGUCAUGGGAUAAAUGCUUUCUCCUGCUGCAGGGAGAUUUGCUAAGGCCCAGAGAAGCGGGAAAAGGCACCACCACAUCCAACAGUCAGAGCUUCUGAGAGAUUGUGAAGACGAAGGUGGGAAGCAGGAUUCCAGAACCAGGGUUCCAGGGUUGAUGGAGAAGUACCAAUUCAAGAAGUAGCAACUCUGGGAGUUCCUGUCAUGGCUCAGGGGUUAAUGAACCCGACUAGUAUCCAUGAGGACUCAGGUUUGAUCCCUGGUCCUGCUCAGUGGGUUAAGGAUCGGCAUUGCCAUGAGCUGUGGUGUAGGUUGCAGACAUGGCUCGGAUCUGGCAUUGCUGUGGCUCUGGCAUAGGCCAGCGGCUAAAGCUCCAAUUGCUACAGCUCUGAUUGGACCCCUAGCCUGGGAACCUCCAUAUGCCAUGGAACAUCAUUUUAAUAAAUACUUCUGUUUGGAAAUAACUGGUGCAAUUUAAAGCUAUUUUAAGACAACAUAUAGUUGAUGCCAACAAGCAUAAAGACAAGGCACUACACUUUUUAGAUUUGGUGAUUGCAGGCCUUCUCUUAAAAAAAAAAAAAAAAAGAAUAGGAAUUAAAAAAAUGAUUGCUAAAGCUUUACAGAAAAAUAUCACAUCUCUCCUUUCAGUUUUUGUUAAUCUACCACAAUGAUCAUGGUGAGAGAAAGGAGAAAUCAUUUUAAUAAAAUCAAAGCUGGCUGGAUGAUGGAAAGGGAGAGUGUGGCAGGCAAUCAUCACUUAUCUGGGGCAACAGGUGAAAGGGGCUUUUUAGUCUUCUAAUUACCUUUUUGAGGUCACUGAACAAUGCAGCUAAUGAGAAAGAUGAGAAACUAAUCCUUGGGGUGUUUAAUCUUGUUUCAGUCUUGAUUCAUUCCAGAACUGGUGUGUUUAUUAAUACAAGCAGAUGGGUCUGCCCUAGAAUGACAAACUAAUCAG